rnacentral:tmRNA from 1 species
GGGGAUGCUAGGCAUCGACGGUGAGUCGUGCUGAUUGUGUGCAGUGUCGAAAAUGACUCCCCUUCGUUAAGCGAGUCACUCAGUACGUGCAAACAAAUCCGUACCAAGUCCUUACGCUAACGCGUUUGGAUUCGCUCCCGCUUUCGCGUAAAUAACGCCAGCCGGACCGAUGCGAGUACCGUAAACGUCUCAUACACGGUACCUCGUAAAAUAGCCACGAGACUGUGGAAGUCUGCGCCGUUGUCGUAGACUUUCGAGCUUGUAACAACUCGGGAUCUAACUGUCUUGGAUAUUCUCUAGGUUAGACACUUAAAUCAAAGAAUGCCCUACGCACUGUAGAUUCAUAAUCACACCCUCAUUCGGACGCGGAUUCAAUUUCCGCCAUCUCCAC